UUUGUUUAACAUGUUUGCAAACAACAAGGAUAUAAUGAUCCAUUGUGUCACACCGUCAUUUGUGUCACUUGUUGGAAGAUUGUGGAAAUAUGAAAUCUGUUGCGUUGCUUGAAAUCCUCCCAAAAAUUUAAAAAUGAGAUAAAUAUAUAUUUAAGCAGUGGAAAGAGAGAGAGAGAGAGAAAGCGAGUGAGUGCAAAAAGUGUAAACACGAACAGACUUGUGAACGAAAGCAGUGGCAUCGUAACAGUAGAAUCCCUAUACAGAUAGGGACUCUAAUGAGAGAUGACGAAAGAGACCUCGCGUGGUUAUGUAUGGUACUAUUAUACUGACUGAUGACUGCUGCUAUCUGAUGAUGAUUAGAGAAACUAUUUUCUCGAAUACUUCAAAGAUAUCAGAAAGUUUGCCUAAUGACAAUGGAUAAAAACACGGUGAUUACUGCAAACCUUCUGUGAUAUCUUUGAAGAUAAUAUCCGUAAAAAGCGUUAUUUUCUCGAAUGUACUACUUUCAGAAAUAUUUAGAAAGUAACUUUUUUUCAUUA